ACAUGCAAGUCGAGGGGCAGCAUGGUCUUAGCUUGCUAAGGCCGAUGGCGACCGGCGCACGGGUGAGUAACACGUAUCCAACCUGCCGUCUACUCUUGGACAGCCUUCUGAAAGGAAGAUUAAUACAAGAUGGCAUCAUGAGUCCGCAUGUUCACAUGAUUAAAGGUAUUCCGGUAGACGAUGGGGAUGCGUUCCAUUAGAUAGUAGGCGGGGUAACGGCCCACCUAGUCUUCGAUGGAUAGGGGUUCUGAGAGGAAGGUCCCCCACAUUGGAACUGAGACACGGUCCAAACUCCUACGGAAGGCAGCAGUGAGGAAUAUUGGCCAAUGGGCGAGAGCCUGAACCAGCCAAGUAGCGUGAAGGAUGACUGCCCUAUGGGUUGUAAACUUCUUUUAUAAAGGAAUAAAGUCGGGUAUGCAUACCCGUUUGCAUGUACUUUAUGAAUAAGGAUCGGCUAACUCCGUGCCAGCAGCCGCGGUAAUACGGAGGAUCCGAGCGUUAUCCGGAUUUAUUGGGUUUAAAGGGAGCGUAGAUGGAUGUUUAAGUCAGUUGUGAAAGUUUGCGGCUCAACCGUAAAAUUGCAGUUGAUACUGGAUAUCUUGAGUGCAGUUGAGGCAGGCGGAAUUCGUGGUGUAGCGGUGAAAUGCUUAGAUAUCACGAAGAACUCCGAUUGCGAAGGCAGCCUGCUAAGCUGCAACUGACAUUGAGGCUCGAAAGUGUGGGUAUCAAACAGGAUUAGAUACCCUGGUAGUCCACACGGUAAACGAUGAAUACUCGCUGUUUGCGAUAUACAGCAAGCGGCCAAGCGAAAGCGUUAAGUAUUCCACCUGGGGAGUACGCCGGCAACGGUGAAACUCAAAGGAAUUGACGGGGGCCCGCACAAGCGGAGGAACAUGUGGUUUAAUUCGAUGAUACGCGAGGAGCCUUACCCGGGCUUAAAUUGCAGAUGAAUUACGGUGAAAGCUGUAAGCCGCAAGGCAUCUGUGAAGGUGCUGCAUGGUUGUCGUCAGCUCGUGCCGUGAGGUGUCGGCUUAAGUGCCAUAACGAGCGCAACCCUUGUUGUCAGUUACUAACAGGUUCCGCUGAGGACUCUGACAAGACUGCCAUCGUAAGAUGUGAGGAAGGUGGGGAUGACGUCAAAUCAGCACGGCCCUUACGUCCGGGGCUACACACGUGUUACAAUGGGGGGUACAGAGGGCCGCUACCACGCGAGUGGAUGCCAAUCCCCAAAACCUCUCUCAGUUCGGACUGGAGUCUGCAACCCGACUCCACGAAGCUGGAUUCGCUAGUAAUCGCGCAUCAGCCACGGCGCGGUGAAUACGUUCCCGGGCCUUGUACACACCGCCCGUCAAGCCAUGGGAGCCGGGGGUACCUGAAGUGCGUAACCGCGAGGAGCGCCCUAGGGUAAAACUGGUGACUGGGGCUAAGUC
rnacentral:rRNA from 1 species